rnacentral:lncRNA from 1 species
GGGUCCUUUCUCGAGAUAGGUCAAUUUACUCAUUUCUUCUUCUCGUCUUUUUGCUUAGCUUAUUUCUCAACUUUUAUAUUGACUCCCUGGCCGCUCUUGUAGAUUGGACACCAGCUCAUCGCUAACAUCGAGGUGAUGAACAAUGCUAGGAAGGAGGCUGCCCAAGCGGAGGAAGGCCGCCUGGCCGAGGCUGCCCGCCUCAAGGAGA